rnacentral:misc_RNA from 1 species
AAGUCGUAACAAGGUCUCCGUAGGUGAACCUGCGGAGGGAUCAUUACCGAGUUCAUGCCCUCGCGGGUAGAUCUCCCACCCUGUGUUAUAUUACCUUUGUUGCUUUGGCGGGCCGUCGGGCUUCAUCAGUCAGGCUACCGGCUCCGGCUGGUAAGCGCCCGCCAAAGGACCCCCAAACUCGGAAUGUUAGUGUCGUCUGAGUACUAUCUAAUAGUUAAAACUUUCAACAACGGAUCUCUUGGUUCUG